GAGUAACGCGUAAUCAACCUGCCCUUCAGAGGGGGACAACAGUUGGAAACGACUGCUAAUACCGCAUACGAUCCAAUCUCGGCAUCGAGACUGGAUGAAAGGUGGCCUCUAUUUAUAAGCUAUCACUGAAGGAGGGGAUUGCGUCUGAUUAGCUAGUUGGAGGGGUAACGGCUCACCUAGGCGACGAUACAUAGCCGACCUGAGAGGAUGACCAGCCACACUGGAACUGAGACACGGUCCAGACUCC
rnacentral:rRNA from 1 species